rnacentral:lncRNA from 1 species
GUGGGCUAAUUAUUUUCUCUUAAAAUGUUUUUUUUUAGAUCUCCUUUAGAUUACCUGAAUUGUCUGCUGAUGUAGCUUGAAAUAAUCCAUAGGUUUUAAGCUCCUCUUUGGAUCCAGGAUUUAUCUUAAUUCUGUUACUUAGAAGGUUUUACUUUAGUGGAGGUGUGUUACUGUGCUUGAACAAAUGGGCUGAGAAACUGUCUGUGAAAGAGAAAGCAACCGAAGGCAGUGUUAGCUGUAUUUUAUGCUAUUAAAAUUCAUAUUAUAUUGCAAGAAACAUGAGAAUCAAACAGAUUUUUACAACAGUAAUAAUAGCAAUGCUGUUUUGAAAUUUUCAUUGUAAAGAAUCAUUUCAAAAUGACUACCUGAGGCUUAAUUUUCUUUCCAAUAAUGCAGAUGUUUCUGAAUUGCAGUUUGCCAAGUGUGGGAGAUGGGAAAUCCUGUCCUAAAAAGAUACUGUUAGAUGGUCUUUUAGGUUUGAUCCAAGUCAUAGAGUAGCAGAUAAACUGUCUUUAAACAGUGAUUUACAGCAAAAGUUUCACAAAAACUGGCAGGAUGUUGCAAUAGGGAAGUUGUGGCUAAGCCAUUUCCAGUUUUUUGUGCAGUUUUCUCAAGCAGUCACAUUCCUUCCCAAAAGUUUGCUUUCACUCAUGAAUGCAUUGGAUACCACUGAGAGAAGAUUUGGUAGCUCCACCAUUUUUGUGUGUAUGUUGUCAGGCAAGAUGAAGAUAACGCAUUGUCAAGAGCUGAACUAGCUCCUACUGGUUUAUUAAUACCACCUCCUGGAUCUAUCAACAGCAAGACAGACACUUUUCACACUGGAGAAUUAAAAAAAACAAUCUGCACCUUGUCGGGCCUGCUCACUAGGAAUAGUCACAGAUCUGCAGCCCCUGAUAAUUACUCACAUGGGUCUUCACACUGCCUGCAUUUCCAUUUCAAUUGUUGACAUUGCACAGGACUACCUCAUCUGCCUAAAAAGGUGAGAAAAAGUGAACAAAGUAUGUCAGGCUUAGUAAUUACACCACUGUCACCUCUCACUCCCCCAGCUAUUGGACCCUAUCAGCAAAACUAUGUUCAUCACUCUCCUCUUAACCGUUUCAUUAAAGGGGAAUGAUUAUGUUGAGUGAAUGAGUUGACACUAAGAAUCUGCACCUUCUCAGUAACUGUGAAAACAUUUAGAAUGGAUUUAUAUACCAAGAGCCUAAGUGGAAUGAGAGGGAAAAACUAAAGGCUGGACAAAUUAAUUAAAAAAAAUAAUCUUAAUUGAAAUUAAUCUUGUGUGAGUAGGUGGAAGAAUGGGUUCAAAU